CUGUAGUAGUCAUGGCUGACACUCUUGUGAUCCUCUUGAGUCUACAGUCUACAUUCACCAGGACAGAAACCUGUAACAGAGACAAGGAGAUGCUAACAGCCAUAGAAAGCAUCCUACCUCAAAAGGUGAAGUUCUCGCAUAAGAAGCUAAACACACAAAGGUGUAAGUUUAAAAAUCAAACACCUUCUCCCUAAUCUUGAGACCACAAAGCUGCCAAGUCUGCCGGGCCAUCACUCAAUGCCAGGUAAUCCCAUUCUGUCAUCCAUUUCCUUGCAUUAUCAUGUGUCAUGUUUAAGUUCCCUAUAAUGGC
rnacentral:lncRNA from 1 species